GACGAACGCUGGCGGCGCGCCUAACACAUGCAAGUCGAACGAGAGAUGAGGAGCUUGCUCUUCAAAUCGAGUGGCGAACGGGUGAGUAACGCGUGAGGAACCUGCCUCAAAGAGGGGGACAACAGUUGGAAACGACUGCUAAUACCGCAUAAGCGCACAGUACCGCAUGGUACAGAGCGAAAAACUCCGGUGGUAUAGGAUGGACCCGCGUCUGAUUAGUUAGUUGGCGGUGUAACGGACCACCAAGACGACGAUCAGUAGCCGGCUUGAGAGAGUGAACGGCCACAUUGGGACUGAGACACGGCCCAAACUCCUACGGGAGGCAGCAGUGGGGAAUAUUGCACAAUGGGGGAAACCCUGAUGCAGCAACGCCGCGUGAGUGAAGAAGUAUUUCGGUAUGUAAAGCUCUAUCAGCAGGGAAGAAAAUGACGGUACCUGACUAAGAAGCCCCGGCUAACUACGUG
rnacentral:rRNA from 1 species